ACUGCAAACUUCUGCGAAAGCAAUACCCAGAGUGGAACGGUGAAAUAGCAUCACCGCGAGGUGCGUCAGGUGCCAAGCCCUCUCCCGCAACGUCUGCUGAGACUUCCCAGAAGAAAACCAGACAUGAGAGUCGUUCCCGUUCCUGCAGCCCCCGCAGUCAUCGUGACUCGGAGCAAAGCAGCGACAGGCGAAGAAGGCUUUCCCGCUCUCGCAGACCCCGCACUCAUCGUGACUCGGAGC